GGGAGUGUGGCUCAGUUGCUAGAGCACUUACCUAGCAUGCAAGAAGCCCUGGGAUUGAUUCCUGCACCACCU
rnacentral:tRNA from 1 species